CGCGGAGUGGAGCAGUUGGUAGCUCGCCAGGCUCAUAACCUGGAGGUCAUACGUUCGAGUCGUGUCUCCGCAACUA
rnacentral:tRNA from 1 species